rnacentral:lncRNA from 1 species
CUAUAACUAAAACAGUUAUAAUAGUAUAGUUAUUAUUACAACAACAAGGCUCAAACUAAAAAUCACACAGUACAUAUACAGUUCCCACUCACUUCUAGUCUAGAUAGUACGAGGGAAGCGUAACUUAUUCUUAAAAAAAAAGCGCGUUUGGUAAAUCCAAAUUCAAAACAAGCAUAUUACAACAUUAUUUAAUUGAAAUGAUAGCAUUAUUAAAAGCUAGUAAUAAUCUCAACGACGGAAGGGAAGCGUAACUUAUUCUUAAAAAAAAAGCGCGUUUGGUAAAUCCAAAUUCAAAACAAGCAUAUUACAACAUUAUUUAAUUGAAAUGAUAGCAUUAUUAAAAGCUAGUAAUAAUCUCAACGACGGUUUGUUGGGAAAUUGUCCUUGUUCUGAUCAUCAUUUCCCAUCCCAAGAGUAUUCUUAACUGCUUCAGUAGCACCUUGGGCCACACCCUUCACCUUCUCUCCUGUCGUCUGUAGAAGCCCAGGUGAGUUGUCUUUUCCUGAUUGGGCUUUUUCUUUGGUGGCCUGCCCUUUCUCUCUGGCUUGACAAGAUGUGUCUUGGGCUUUUUCCUUUGUUGCUUGGGCUGUCUGAUGG